CCUACGGGGGGCAGCAGUAGGGAAUCUUCGGCAAUGGGGGCAACCCUGACCGAGCAACGCCGCGUGAGUGAAGAAGGUUUUCGGAUCGUAAAGCUCUGUUGUAAGAGAAGAACGUGUGUGAGAGUGGAAAGUUCACACAGUGACGGUAACUUACCAGAAAGGGACGGCUAACUACGUGCCAGCAGCCGCGGUAAUACGUAGGUCCCGAGCGUUGUCCGGAUUUAUUGGGCGUAAAGCGAGCGCAGGCGGUUUAAUAAGUCUGAAGUUAAAGGCAGUGGCUUAACCAUUGUUCGCUUUGGAAACUGUUAGACUUGAGUGCAGAAGGGGAGAGUGGAAUUCCAUGUGUAGCGGUGAAAUGCGUAGAUAUAUGGAGGAACACCGGUGGCGAAAGCGGCUCUCUGGUCUGUAACUGACGCUGAGGCUCGAAAGCGUGGGGAG
rnacentral:rRNA from 1 species